rnacentral:rRNA from 1 species
UACGUAGGGUGCGAGCGUUAAUCGGAAUUACUGGGCGUAAAGCGUGCGCAGGCGGUUUUGUAAGCCAGAUGUGAAAGCCCCGGGCUUAACCUGGGAAUGGCAUUUGGGACUGCAAGGCUUGAGUGCGGCAGAGGAUGGCGGAAUUCCCGGUGUAGCAGUGAAAUGCGUAGAGAUCGGGAGGAACAUCUGUGGCGAAGGCGGCCAUCUGGACCAGCACUGACACUGAGGCACGAAAGCGUGGGGAGCAAACAGG